CCUACGGGAGGCAGCAGUGGGGGAUAUUGCACAAUGGGGGAAACCCUGAUGCAGCGACGCCGCGUGGGUGAAGAAGCGCCUCGGCGCGUAAAGCCCUGUCAGCAGGGAAGAAAAUGACGGUACCUGAAGAAGAAGCCCUGGCUAACUACGUGCCAGCAGCCGCGGUAAUACGUAGGGGGCAAGCGUUAUCCGGAUUUACUGGGUGUAAAGGGGGCGCAGACGGCGAUGCAAGCCAGGAGUGAAAGCCCGGGGCCCAACCCCGUGACUGCUCUUGGAACUGCGUGGCUAGAGUGCAGGAGGGGCAGGCGGAAUUCCUGGUGUAGCGGUGAAAUGCGUAGAUAUCAGGAGGAACACCGGUGGCGAAGGCGGCCUGCUGGACUGCAACUGACGUUGAGGCCCGAAAGCGUGGGGAGCAAACAGGAUUAGAUACCCCAGUAGUC
rnacentral:rRNA from 1 species